UCCACUGCAGCCACCCGCGCCGGCCACCAAGAAAAAAGCUAGCGGAGGAAGUGCUCACUUCCGGCGGGGCCGGGAGCAUCGCCGCUCUGCCUGCCUUCCCGACUCGCUUGCUUUCGCCAGUGCCCUCUGAGCCUCCUGCUGUGCGCCAGGGGCGCCAACUCUGCCGCGACACCGCUCGCUAUUCUCGCAAACCGCCGAAGCCGACGCUGUGGGAGGUGGAACAUUCAAGUGUUCCAGGUACCUGUUGUGCGUCCUUCGUGCUUUCCGUUAAGGCUGUGUUCUCUGUGCUAGUGCUCCGCCGACAAACACAAUUGCCCCGCGUCUUGGGUACCGUCAUCGUGUUACGCACGUGUGUGUCGCAGAAUUUUGUGUCGUUCCACAAUUUGGAGGCCAUUAAUAUCAUCAGUGCGGGAGACUACAAAGAUUUGCAGCGGUGGACUACAGUGGAUAGUUUUCUGCAUGUAGUCCCCAUCACUUCAGCAUCAUCAUCAGUACGCAGUUAAAACAAUUGUGCGUGUGGGUGUUAGGCUGCGAUGAAAGCUGAUUUAUUUGACUGGGCGUGAUGACGUCGUGCCACUGAAGACUACUUUGCCGAAGAUGGAUGCCGAACUGAUGCGUGCCGCGACCAGCAACGCCUGUGCCCUGACAACACAUCGCUGCAGCGGCGGCAGUUCGCCCGCCGCCCGAUGCUGCCGCGUCCCCAGAUAGGGGCAUGCCGUCUCCUCUGCCGUGUCUCUGCUCCACGGACCCGGCGCUGGGUCCACCCGGGCUCUUCUGCGGGACGUAGCCUCAGAGCCGGCCAACUGGUCGACACCUGUCCGGAACCUCACCGAGCGGCGAGGUGUCUGGCCGAGCCUAGCGAGCGUCGACUCUCGCGUCUUUCGUGACAACACGAUUCUAGGCGGAGUGCUUCGCGAGUUACCCACAAUACCAAAGCGUUUAACUAUUUAGGGAAGUGUCAAGGCUGAUCGAGAGAGAGAAACAUUUGUUUUGACGCUCCCGCAGUUACCUGUUUAUAGCCAAAGCAGUAGUCGAGAUAAGUUCCCAAGUGUCAGGCAGUAUUACCGAAUGGCCUACCAUUCACUUCAGGUGCUGUGAGUCUUAGAGUAAUUAGUGGCCUUAGUGUGGACAGGAUCCUCAAAUAACUGGACGUGAGAGGAGCGUUCCCUCAGUUCUCAGUCACGGUUAUUUGCAGACUGUCGUGAUCAGUGGGAAAGACACAGCAAGAAAAGUUCCUCGUUUAUAUCUAAGUGAUAGUAAUUAGCGUCGUUGAAGACUACCAUAGGGAAUAUACCUGUUCACCGCAAAUUGUCGUCCACAGUAUAUUUAUACUUCGAUCCGUCUCAAGAGCUGUGUAGAGUAACUCAAGCGCCAGUUAAUAACACACCACUUUUUUGCUACCGAGAGAGGCGUGUUUUUUGUGUUAUUCUUUUAAGGUGGUUACGAGGAGGGGGAGAAUCUAGAAAUCUUCCAGUUGGGGAGCUGUGUUGACACGCGAGGGUACCUGUUUUGCCAUGGCGCCGGCUGCCGACCAGUGAGAUGUCGUCCCCCGAGGGCAACACGGCUGCUGCGGUGGCGACUGCGGCU